AGGGGGGAAAGAUGUGGCCGUUUUGAGGCAACUCCAUGUACAAACGCCUGGCUUUUGAGGACCGCAGAGACUUUAAUGCAAGCGAAGCAGCCUAGACUGCAUCCCUUUAAUAGGGCUUUUUUUCUCCCUCUUUUCUUUCUCUCUUUCUUUCCCUUAACUUCGCUUCCCUUUGUACUGUAUAUGCUUACGGAAGACGGUGCUCAGCCGAAGAAAGAAAAUGAGACGCUGAAAAGUCCUGCGAUUUCCAAGGCGCCAGCCAGAGAUUCUGGUUUCACAGCUCGAGGAGUAAAUAGAAAUUAAUCACUGUUACUAGACAAAGGAAACGGCCACUAGCCCCGGAGGUUGCUAAACAGAGAGCGGCUUCUCCAGUUGCACGGAGGGAAGAGAGAAAAUCUGAUUAGGAAUUAGGACUGAAUCAAGCGGAGGGCGAAAGAGGAAGGGGGAGAGCAGGAGGAAAAGAAAAAAAAGGAAGAAAGGAAGCUUUUAGCGUUCUUAUGCUUUUGAUGUUAACAUUUGAGGUGUCCUGACCAGUUGGAAGCGCGCACACGGCGGAUUCUCCUCAUUCAUUCACCACCUUGACAAGCUCGCCUUUGAUUGACAGCUGGAGUGGCAAAAAGGCAUGCGAGUUGGUAGUUGGGUUUGAGACUCACUUUUUCAACCAAAAAAA